GUCACUACUCUCUACUGAGAUGUCUGUUCUUGGAAGCCCCACUACCAAGGGCAGUGUUUGGGUAGGAAUUGGUCUUGGGUAAAGUACACUGGUCAUCAAGGUGAACCAGUCUCCUUUCCCCUGAAAACUAAUCUUUUGGUCCAGGUGCAUGUUGCUUUGGGGGUUGGGGGCCAGUGGAUGAUCUGUGGCUCUGACAGGUAUCACCAAAGCUCUUGCCCACCUGGGCACAAUUCCCAUACUGUUACCAGGUGCUCACCCAUCUUAGCCUAGGCUUCCUGUCAUGGGAUCCAGUUGCUUUGGGUCUUAUCACGGGUCCUGUGGAUCACAUCCUCUUAAUGUGUGCAGGACACCUCCCCAGAUCCAUACUAUAAGCCCACUGAAAUCUGCCCAUUGGUUUGACCGUUUCUUUGCUCUCCUUCCUCCCCACUGUUCUUCCUGCAAACCCAAAACAGAUGCCUAUCCCCUUCCUGAUGAGGGUGUGGUGAAUGGCUGCAUACCCUGGACCGCUAAAGGGACCUGGACCUUACGACAUCGUUAUGGCAGAGUUUGGGGACCCUCCUCUGUCCCGGCAAGCUCCUGAGACCAUGGUGAGGGUCUGCAUUGUACAAAUGGCUGUGAGUUGAGGAGAGGGCGCCAUGCACUUAAGGAGAGUCAUUUGGACUGGAAUACCAGAUGACCAAAGGUGGUGGCUAACAUAUGACUCCAGGAUCCAGCGUCAUGCCACGGGACUGUUAUAAGUGGUACCCACUGUUCACUGGUUAGAAAUAACAUUUUCUUUCCCAUCUGGCUGUUAGUCCAAGACAUUUCU